UACGAAGGGGGCGAGCGUUGUUCGGAUUUACUGGGCGUAAAGGGCGCGCAGGCGGCUUAUUUUGUCAGGCGUGAAAGCCCCGGGCUCAACCUGGGAACUGCGUUUGAUACGGAUGGGCUAGAGUUCGGGAGAGGAGAGUGGAAUUCCCAGUGUAGAGGUGAAAUUCGUAGAUAUUGGGAAGAACACCGGUGGCGAAGGCGGCUCUCUGGACCGAUACUGACGCUGAGGCGCGAAAGCGUGGGGAGCAAACAGG
rnacentral:rRNA from 1 species